rnacentral:lncRNA from 1 species
GGCAUCCUUAGCAUGUAUUAGAUCAAAGGAGUGACAAGAAUUAAACAGAAAAAAAAAUCUAAAAAAAUCUAAAUCUCUUUUACAUGGUAUACCCAAAUAUAGCAAGGAAGACUCAUUUGAAAGCUAUUGAAGCAAUCCAGGUUUCAUCCUACUUUGGCCUUGCUGAAGCAACGGAUAUUCUUGUAUACUUCCAUCCUUUAGAAUUUAUUUCUAUGAGUUUUGAGGGAACUUGAUGACUAUUGAUAUCAGAGGUAACUUACCAUGACAAGAACUAUGCUGCCAGAGCUGCUGGGUUUUAUUUUGAGCUUUGUCACUUAUUAAAUAUAUGACCUUGAGAAAAU